CGCUUUUUGAAGGUAGACAUGCGCGAGAUGGAGAGAUGGCGGAAGCAGUUAUUCUUCCUUCGGGAAGUGCACGGAUCCAUUCUGUGUUAGACAGAUGACAAUGAUGGGGGAGUGAACUACAGUUAUUUAAAAGGAAACUGCAGGUGUUGGUGCCUGUGGCUGCUGUGACUGUGGAAUGCAGGGUCCUGGUCCUUUGUUCCAUCCUGCACACCGCGUGAGAGACGAGACAUGCAGAGGCCCAUCCAAGCAGCUCACCAUCAUCAUUACUCCUGUAAAGAAAGCACUGUGACAUUAUGUGGAAAGCGGUACGAUGUGAGCCAUAAGAGGUUGUGGGUGCUGCCUGGCCCCUGGCCCACUGGCUCCAUCCCCUCAGAGAGCAGAGAUCAGCCGUCUGCACAGAAUGAAAGGAGAGGAGGGCAGGGACCCAGCGGGAUGAAGGACACCAGCCUCCAGUCAAUGUGUUGAGGAGAUUCAGG
rnacentral:lncRNA from 1 species